AUUGAACGCUGGCGGCAGGCUUAACACAUGCAAGUCGGACGGUAACAGGGAGGAAGCUUGCCUUCUUUGCUGACGAGUGGCGGACGGGUGAGUAAUGCUUGGGAAUCUGUUUUAUGGAGGGGGAUAACUACGGGAAACUGUAGCUAAUACCGCGUAAUAUCGAGAGAUUAAAGUGUGGGACCGUAAGGCCACAUGCCAUAGAGUGAGCCCAAGUGGGAUUAGGUAGUUGGUGGGGUAAAGGCCUACCAAGCCGUCGAUCUCUAGCUGGUCUGAGAGGAUGACCAGCCACACUGGGACUGAGACACGGCCCAGACUCCUACGGGAGGCAGCAGUGGGGAAUAUUGCACAAUGGGCGCAAGCCUGAUGCAGCCAUGCCGCGUGAAUGAAGAAGGCCUUCGGGUUGUAAAGUUCUUUCGGUGGUGAGGAAGGUUGUAAUGUUAAUAGCAUUAUAAUUUGACGUUAGCCACAGAAGAAGCACCGGCUAACUCCGUGCCAGCAGCCGCGGUAAUACGGAGGGUGCGAGCGUUAAUCGGAAUAACUGGGCGUAAAGGGCACGCAGGCGGAUACUUAAGUGAGGUGUGAAAGCCCUGGGCUUAACCUAGGAAUUGCAUUUCAUACUGGGUAUCUAGAGUAUUUUAGGGAGGGGUAGAAUUCCACGUGUAGCGGUGAAAUGCGUAGAGAUGUGGAGGAAUACCGAAGGCGAAGGCAGCCCCUUGGGGGAAUACUGACGCUCAUGUGCGAAAGCGUGGGGAGCAAACAGG
rnacentral:rRNA from 1 species